rnacentral:misc_RNA from 1 species
GAAAUGCGAUAAGUAAUGUGAAUUGCAGAAUUCAGUGAAUCAUCGAAUCUUUGAACGCACCUUGUGCUCCUUGGUAUUCCUUGGAGCAUGCCUGUUUGAGUAUCAUGAAAUCUUCAAAGUAAAUCUUUUGUUAACUCAAUUGGUUUCUACUUUGGUAUUGGAGGUCUUUGCAGCUUCACACCUGCUCCUCUUUGUUCAUUAGCUGGAUCUCAGUGUUAUGCUUGGUUCCACUCGGCGUGAUAAGUUAUCUAUCGCUGAGGACACUGUAAAAGGUGGCCAAGGUAAAUGCAGAUGAACCGCUUCUAAUAGUCCAUUGAUUUGGACAAUACUUUUAUGAUCUGAUCUCAAAUCAGGUAGGACUACCCGCUGAACUUAAGC